UAGGUGGCUGAGAGAAGGCUAUAGAUUGUAAAUCUAUCUACGAGGAAACCCUCCCUGAUUAA
rnacentral:tRNA from 1 species